UACAGAGGUCUCAAGCGUUUGUUCGGAUUCAUUGGGCGUAAAGGGUGUGUAGGUGGCGCCGUAAGUCGGGUAUGAAAUCUCGGAGCUUAACUCCGAAACUGCAUUCGAUACUGCCGUGCUUGAGGACUGGAGAGGAGACUGGAAUUUACGGUGUAGCGGUGAAAUGCGUAGAUAUCGUAAGGAAGACCAGUGGCGAAGGCGGGUCUCUGGACAGUUCCUGACGCUGAGGCACGAAGGCCAGGGGGAGCAAAACGGG
rnacentral:rRNA from 1 species